GGCCCCAUGGUGCAGCGGUAGCAUACCUGACACAUAUGAGGAUCCUGCAUCCAUGCACCCAAGGCCAUGUGUCUACGGUCCAUCGAUCCAUUGAUUCGUUCGUAUCAUUAACCCUCUCGAAAGAGAACGGCUGUGCUUAGGAGACCUGCGUUCGACUCGCAGUGGGGCCG
rnacentral:tRNA from 1 species